GGUUGUGGCUCAGUGGUACAGCGCUUGUCUAGCAUGUGCGAGGGGCUGAGUUCGAUCCUCAGCACCA
rnacentral:tRNA from 1 species